rnacentral:snRNA from 1 species
UAUUGAACAACGCAAAAUAAACAUUCUUGUUCUCGUGAAAACGCCUGGUGAGAGGUUCGAUUCGUUGGACCCAGGACCACUGGACUCUGAGUUCGAAAUGGAGAAGGAAUCGAGCAAUCUUGGGUGCGGUGCUCCUAUGCCUUCGGGCAAGUGAGGAGGAGCGCAAUGAUUGAGCGGACAU